rnacentral:lncRNA from 1 species
AUGUCAGAGGCUGGAUUGGCACUCAGGAAAUGGAGUCUUUCCAAGCCCCGUGCUCCGGCCACUGUGCCCCGUCCUUGUUCUACGCACAAGCUGCCCCGAUCGCCGAGCCUUCAGAGAGCACCAAACUCGGGUCGCAGCACGUCUGGAGCCGUCUUCAUUGAACGCCGAAGCACCGCGACCGCUCGCUCGCUGGCGUGUCCGCUGGGGGAGCCUUUGGACGUCGUCCCACCCGGCACGCCCGAGGACUCGCUGGAGAGCCGAAGGCGUCGAUGGGCCGCGAAGGGCAGAGCGGCAGGCCUGGAGUUGGCUUCACCUCUUGGCUGUAUGACCCUGGGCGAGUCACUGGACCUGAUGGCCCGGCCGUCCUUCCUCUUCUGUCUCAGAAACGAUACCAAGGUAAGGAUUUACCACGAGGCGGAGGCGUGGUCAGGGCUGGGCCAUGGGGCAGAGAUCUGCAGGUUGGACCAGAUUGCCCAAGAGCUCCAUGACAGAGAAAGGCAGGAGACCUGGAAGGAGAUGCUGUGGGGGCAGUUCGUGGCCCACCUCCACGUUGGCGUGAGGCUGGCCCUUGUGUCCAGCGAGUGCGUGGAAGCGGCUCCCUUCCUUCGGAGCGCAGAGAACGGGAGCUCCCAAAGGUUCAGGGACUGUCCAGAGUCACGGGGCUGGCGGUGAGGGCGUCAGCGGCCCGGGGAGGAGUUGUGGCCCUCCGGCCCCCUCCAGAAGGCAGCUGGCGCCCCAGUCUGGGCUGCUAGUGAGGCUGCGAGGCGAGGGAAGUGAGCCGAGCCCACCCAGAGGGCCGCGGGAGCGGGACGGAGAGCAGCCGGAAGGGCAGGCCCACGUCCCUGGCUGUGGGCCCCGACGCCUGCCGGCCUUUGCUCCUGUCCAGUGGGCCGCAGAAGAAAAGGGCCGACCGCUCUGCCACCGUCCCUCCCCUCCCCCUCUGGGCAAUUCUCCACGCCCGAGCCCACCCUUCCAGCAGGGCCAGGCCCUGGCGCCUGGGCCCAUCCCGGGAGGCGGGGGACAAAGCUCUGGGCCUUCCCUGAGCCUUUCCCAAGCCGGCCCUGCCUGCGGUAGAGGAAGCACUCUCUCCUCUUCCUGGGAGCUGCGGAGGCCGGAUGGGGAGGCCCCUCUCUUCUGCCUCAAGGCUGCAUCGGAACCCAGGAAGCGGCCCCUGCUUGGGCGUUUUCAGAGGACGCCGGGCGCCGCGCCUCCCUUUCCUCUCAAAGGGAGCUUGCUGGGCACAGCGAAGCCCCAGCAGAGCGAGGGCCAGGAUGUUCUGUUCCCGCCCAAACACAGCCCCCCACGAGGCUGAGAAGGAGCCACGCCCAACGGGGUUCCGCUCGAGCCUCCUGAGAGGGCCUGCUUGGCGCUGAAACAGACCAGAGGGAAGACGGAAGUCGG